rnacentral:rRNA from 1 species
GAUGAACGCUGGCGGCGUGCCUAAUACAUGCAAGUCGAGCGAACAGACGAGGAGCUUGCUCCUCUGACGUUAGCGGCGGACGGGUGAGUAACACGUGGAUAACCUACCUAUAAGACUGGGAUAACUUCGGGAAACCGGAGCUAAUACCGGAUAAUAUAUUUAACCGCAUGGUUCAAUAGUGAAAGACGGUUUUGCUGUCACUUAUAGAUGGAUCCGCGCCGCAUUAGCUAGUUGGUAAGGUAACGGCUUACCAAGGCAACGAUGCGUAGCCGACCUGAGAGGGUGAUCGGCCACACUGGAACUGAGACACGGUCCAGACUCCUACGGGAGGAAGAAGUAGGGAAUCUUCCGCAAUGGGCGAAAGCCUGACGGAGCAACGCCGCGUGAGUGAUGAAGGUCUUCGGAUCGUAAAACUCUGUUAUUAGGGAAGAACAAAUGUGUAAGUAACUAUGCACGUCUUGACGGUACCUAAUCAGAAAGCCACGGCUAACUACGUG